AAAAUUAAGGUUUAAUUUCGCUUGUGUUUUCAAAGUUUCACAAAUUUGUGAACCUUUGAAAACACGCGUGAUAUUAAACCUUAAUUUU